rnacentral:lncRNA from 1 species
AAUUAAAAUAUUGUUCACACAUUUGUUGUGUCAGUUUUAGGCAUACAUUGUAGUCAUUCCAUAUGUCUCUACAUUAUGUUGUACUCAACCACAAGUGUAGCUAUCCUGUGAAAGCAUGCAACAAUAUUGUUACAGGAUUGACUCCAUUCCAUUGGCUGUCCCUUGUAUCCCUAGGACUCAUUCACUCCAUAGCUGGACGCCGGUAUCUCUCUCUCUCAAAGGUGUCCAUUCUUUAAGUAUUUUGGUGCCAAACAGUAUUACCUCUUGUUCAGCAUAUGUAAAUCGGUGUUCUAUUUUUCUGUGAAUAUUGCUUAAAACAUUACAAAUGAUGUCGUUACGUUAAUAAAUUCGGUUUCAUUCUUCACUCACAAGAAAGAGAAGGAAAAGAUUUUGGGUCCCAGGCCCUGUCACUAAAACCUUCCCAACGAGGAGAACAGGCUUAGUUGCCCAGAGCGCCUUCGGUCUCUCAGCUGAGCAACCAGGGCCUUCAACAUUGAAGGAAUUCCCAUGGUGGCCAGCAGAGAGAGCUCAAGCACCACAGACCCCCGAGGGGCGGGUUCCUCUGCUGGGCAGUGAUAGCCAGCAGAGGGCGCACCAUCUGCUUUUCUGACCCAGGGCACCUCAGAGCAGGAAGGGCUUUGAUUGCUCUCAGAGGACUCAGGCCUCUUCUGGUGCCUGAGUACAGAGAGCAGAGCUGCAUUUCCAGCAGGAUCUGCCACCCGCCCCAGGGGAGACCUUGGGAGCUUAGCAGCAACUUGGCAUCUCCUGAGUCGCCAGAGAGAAGCUGCCUUGUUGUACUGAGUGCUGAGGAGGGGGCGCCGGGUGGCUUCCCUGGUCAAGCUGGUCGCUGAGCUGCACAGGCCUUUGCAUUUUCUGGGCUGUUCCCGUGUCACCCCUUCCCGGACAGUGUUUGAACAAGACGUAUUUUACUAAAGGACUUGUGGAUUGCGGGGUCCCACGACAUCACCUCAUAGAUGCAGUCGAUGGUUCGUUCCAGAUCCAGGCUUGUUUCCCGGGAAGUAACCCUAACAGAAAUUCAGAAGCACGGGAGCUGCAUUCAAUUAGGACGUGGAUCCAUGAAAUGCUCGUCUCACGACCUUCUAGAAGAAGGAGCUGGGACCCAUGUUCCGAGUUCUGCUGGACCCAGAGACCAAGUCUAUGCAACCUCCAUCCGCCUCCAUCCUUUAUGAGACC